AUUAACCUCAAAUGGUUGUUUUUGAAUUAUAAUAGCUUGUCUGGAGAGAUACCUCAAUCCUUGCAGAAGUGCACAAGUUUGAUUCUCCUGGCUCUUGGGAACAAUUCACUAUCUGGGAGCAUACCGACAUGGUUGGGGGAAAGCUUAGAGAAUCUGCGGGAUAUAUCGUUACAUCACAAUACUUUCGAAGGAAAUAUACCAUUGCAGCUUUGCCAGUUGAGACACCUAUCUUACUUGGACUUCUCUUUCAAUUCACUAUCAG
rnacentral:misc_RNA from 1 species